UGGGGAAUCUUGCGCAAUGGGCGAAAGCCUGACGCAGCAACGCCGCGUGGGGGACGAAGGCUCUCGGGUUGUAAACCCCUUUCAGGAGGGACGAAAUUGACGGUACCUCCAGAAGAAGCCCCGGCCAACUACGUGCCAGCAGCCGCGGUAACACGUAGGGGGCGAGCGUUGUCCGGAUUUAUUGGGCGUAAAGAGCUCGUAGGUGGCUCGGUAAGUCGGGUGUGAAAUUUCGAGGCUCAACCUCGAGACGCCACCUGAUACUGCUGUGGCUAGAGUCCGGUAGGGGAGCGUGGAAUUCCUGGUGUAGCGGUGAAAUGCGCAGAUAUCAGGAGGAACACCAGCGGCGAAGGCGGCGCUCUGGGCCGGUACUGACACUGAGGAGCGAAAGCGUGGGGAUCAAACA
rnacentral:rRNA from 1 species